rnacentral:tRNA from 1 species
UGGGGUAUAGUGUAACGGUAGCACAACUGACUCUGAAUCAGUUAGUCUAGGUUCGAAUCCUAGUACCCCAG